GUUGAAGGUCAAAUGUAAUCUUGACUCAAAGCCAUCCUUUGAGGACCAACAUAGAAUAUGAAUAAGUAAAUUCCUGCCGCAUGUAAGAAGUCCACUUUUUUUUUUUUUUUUUUUGGCCAUGCCGGAUUGCAGGAUCUUAAUUCCCCAACCAGGGCUCGAAUCCGGGUCCCCUGCAGUGGAAGCGUGGAAUCCUAACCACUGGACUGCCAGGGAAUUCCCAAGAAAUCCACUUUUGAGUCUGAAUGGUGGUAGAAGGAAAAAGCUUUGGGCCCAACAGAGCCUGGGUUCAGAGCACAGGCUUUGUGCCCUGAGUCCUCAUCUGUAAAAUGGGCAGGGUUUCGUUCUAAAUCAUGAUGGGUGUAUAGGGACCGGCACAUACACACCAUUAACAAACAUACUGACCCACGCCUGGAUAGGGAAACAAGUCCCACCGAAUGGGAUUUUUAAGCUAAAGACUCAGACACCUAAGCAUCAUGUGAGCUGUGAGGGAGAAAUAAUGGCACGGAUAGGAAACAUUUGCAAAUGGAGCUGGGAUGGAAAAAAUAACCCCAGGGGAACUGAGCCCACGGAGACAAGGUGCACCUCAGCUUCUGGGACGGCAGCCUACUCAGAUCAGGGUCCCAUCCUCUUGGGUACCCUCUGAACCUAGGGGCUGUUAGCCACGUAGGGCCUGAGCUGAGCAAUGAGAAUCAGUUUCAGCUGCCUUUCAAAGUCAGCAGAAGCACUGUGCUCGGAGCCCUGAACCCCGGGUCACACCCAGGGACGAGGUUUUAAUUCAUUCUGCUCCUCCAGUCCGCUCACGGCACUGUCGUGAUUCACCGUGUGCAGCUGGCUCUCUUCAGAACCUCUUUUGCCCGCUUGCCUUUACAUGCAGCACGGAGCUGUGUUUUUGUUUACUGACCCCCACCAUAUGCUCGGCACUGGGGGAGGAGAGCACGAGGCGGCUAAAAGAUGGGGAAACUGAGGCUUGGAGAGGUGAACUUGCCCUAGGUUGCCCAGCGUGUGAACGUGAAUGUAGGCAGCCUGGCUCCAGAGGAACGGAAAAUGUGGUCCCAUCAGAAGACAAACAGAUCAGUAACCAAUUUUGCUCCCUUUGGACAGCAAGCCCCGCCCACAAUGGGGGUGGGGUGGGCAGGAGGGCUGUUAACUCACUUCCAAGAGACCUGGAUUAAUUUCCCCACCACAUCCCCCCAGGGUAAGGCCUGCCCUGGAAGGGAGAGACCACCCGGUUAAAGCCUGGCCAUCCGAUCUGGUAUCUGCCCAUCUGUCUGUCUGUCUGUCUGUGGGAUCAACAGCCUCCAGCCAGCUCAGCUCCUCGCCAGCCCCAGCCCCAGCCAGCUGUAAUUCCUGCCUGUUACAAGUGUUAACACCUGGCCUGGGGCCUUCCUCCCCCGCAGUCUCCAGGUGCCUCCCUGGGCCCAGCCCACUGACCCCCACGGGGUUUGACUGAACAUGUUCGCAAGCCUCUGAAAGGCGGGUGGAGGUGGGAGUGGGUGGGGGAGGCAGCGGGACAUCGGACAGAUGGGGAAACUGAGGCAGGACUUAGGGCAAGUGCUCGAGUGGGGAAAUGGCUCCCAGGAUGGUGGAGAGAGAACUCAGCUGUUAUUGCCCAGCUCACUGCCCUUGACUUCUGCGGAGCACUUUCACCCAAGCUGUGAAGCAGGGGCAGGCUGGUGAUUCCUGAGUAAGGAAACAGAGACCCAGAGGGAUGUGUCCCACAGAGGGGGGCUCCCGACCCCCAGCACAGGCCCCUUCCAUCAGGGCCUCUGCCUCCGGAAUGCAGCAGGCACUAGGCUGGGCCCUAAUAAGAUCGUUCAUUUUUCCCCCAGGAAGGAAAAGAAAGACAAGUUCCUCUACCAGGCGCUAACUGGGACUGACAAGAAGAAUUAUAGAAAUCAGUGCUGCUGCCACUGCUUCCUGUCCCAGCUCCGCCACUACCUGGCUGCGAGGCCCUGGAACGUGUCUCUUCCUUCCAUGAGCCUCUGUCUGAGGCCCCUUGUAGCUCAGGCUUCUGGUCUACCUUCUCUCAGGGCUGGGGCCUGAGCAGCACAGAACGCUUGGGAUGGGGGUGCCCUCCUUGAGGGGUGAUGGGGGCAGAAAUCCCAGCUGAACUAUUUCCCCCUAAAGUCUCUCCUAGGGAAUGUGUGAGCUGGGAGGGCCAAAGAGCGCAGGCCGUGAUGGGCUAAAGAACUGGUAUCUGGCUGCCCUGGGGGCAGAGCAGGAAUAGGAAUCUGAGGCCCCUCUACUCUACUGUCACUGUCCCAGCCCUGGCCCCCUGCCCUGGCCCCGAGAACAUGACACCCACCACCCUAGCUCCAAGCCCAAAGACAAACGGUGUAAGAGGGGAGGGCUGGUGACCACAGUCCUCAGACAGACAGGAUGAGCUUGUGCCAAAGAAGGCUCUGUGCCGUCCCCCUUCUCCAUGCUGCCCAGCCCUGGAUCCCAGGUCACUGUGGCCCUUGCAGCUUCCUCAUUAGACCCUUGUCUGUGUCUGCUGGACUGUCCCUCCAGGACCAUGGACGCCCACCAAGCACCCAAGUUUGGGAUGUCGUUCACACUUACAGGUCAUAUGUCUGCGAACCUAUCCAUAGCCAUGGGCCCAGCCAUGGUCACUAGCACUUGAGGACAGGGUCACAGGCAAACUCAGACAUAGCCCUCGCCACACUCGUACUCACAAUCAGCUCAUGGCCAUGAGCACUGAUAUCCAUGCACAGAGACAUCUGUGGAGCUCUCCCCUCAUACAAUCAUGAAGACACGUGCACGCAUGCAGACGUGCGCGCGUGCAGACGCACGCACACACACACACCCCGCUCACAUGCCUGGUCAUGAACAUAGUCAUGUGGUGUCAUAAGCAGACACAGGUGCUGACCUUUACAUGGGCAUAGAUACUUGUAGACUUUCUCUGUCUCAUACACACACGCUCACAUAGAAUCAACCACUUGCUGACACUCGUGUGCAGACACACAGUACACCCUGUCACGGGCCAUGGGACCCUCAGGCACGUCUCACACAAGUUCACGUCCACAGUCAUCCAGUUGCAGGUACAGACACUCCUUCACACAGAGGCACACUAGUGUACAGAUGACACUCCUUAGGGUCAGAGACCUACACACACACACACACACACACACACACACACACACACACACACACUGCUCAGACAAAGCAGCAUCCCUGUCCCCGCCAACCCCAAACAAGCCAUGUGUCCAGCAUUAUGUUAGGGCCAAUGUCCUGGCUUUCCAGGUUUUUCCAACAUCUUCCUAUUGGGUGGUCCCUAUCGGGAUGCUCCCCAAUACACCAUUACACAGCAGACCCCCCAACCACCAGCAUUGACCCCGGAAGUGCUCUUGUCCAGUUCAUAGGAUAGGGGAAGCUGGUCUUCCCCCCUUGCUUCCUGCAGCCUAUGGGGCUCCAAGCCCUCUCCUCCCACCCUCCCCGCCCACCCCCAAGGUCCCUGUGGAAGAAGAGAACAGCAUGGCCUUGGGCGGGGGAUGGCAAGAGGGUCGGGAAGGGCCAGGGGGCAGGAUUGGUUUCUGCAGCAGCCUUCCUCGCAACUGGCAAAGUCCCCAACCUGGCAUCCCUGGCUGCCCCGGCCACCCUGGGGACUUCUUUAUGUACAGGAGGCCUCAGGCCAGCCCAUCGCCACGGGGAAGGAAGGGCUGGGCAGAAGAAAGACCUCCCCUUGGAUGUCUGUCCUGGGAGCAACUCUCAGUACCCUCUAAAUGGAGACCCUUGGCCAUACCCUGCUCUUAUUCCCAUCCUGACCCCCCCAAACACCCAGACACAAAUGCUGCCACCCCCAAACAGCUGCAGGCAGACUCGGGGUGUGGCCCCAAAUCUCCUUGCUCUGCUGCCCCUAUCCCAAGCUGGGCAAAGGGUGGUUAAGGGAAAGGGGGACACGCAGGUGGCACUCCUCUCUGACUUUCAUUCCAGGGCCACAGUCCCUCUGCUAACUCACAGAUCCCAAAUUCUUCCUCCUCACCUUCCACACCCCCCCACCCCCUGGCCGAGCCUCUCCUACAUCCAGGAGGGGAAGAUUCUUUAAUUAAAGUUUUCCGGAAUGCAGGGGGCUGGAGACUGAGGAGAGGCGGGGUGUAAUUUAGAGAACUGGUUUCAGUGUGUCUUUCCCCUCUGGCCUCUGGGACCUGCUGGGUGUCGAUGAGGCCGCUUGGAAAACAAGGGGACUCCCUGGAACUGGGGCUCCCAAAGGGCUGUUUACUCCACGGCCAGUUCCCCCACACACGCACAGCCCCCACCCGGCCCCCGCCAAAACACCGCGCCUGGUUUCCCAGCCUUAUUUACUAAAAAUGUCUUUUGUAUCCACAUUUCUCGGGGACCGGGAUCCUCCUCUCCCUCUCUCCCUUUCUCCUCGGUCCUCGGGUUUUUCCAAAAGGAACGAAUUUGACAUGGAGAAUUGGGUUUUUGGUCAAAGAACAAACCCACCCCCUCCCAAACAACUACAUUUUCAAGAAGCCCCGCUUUUGCCAGGAUGGACAAGCAAGAAAUGAAUUAAAUCUGAAUUCAAUGGCAUCUCGGAUCAGCAAAUACCAUAUUCACUUCUGAGGCUCCAGAUUCAUCUAGAGCAGAGUGGGGAGAAUCUGAUGAAAUCCACCCCCCACCCCCCUGCCCUGGGGGAUCCCUGAAGCGACUGGGGUCUAAAAUCUGAAGGCACAGGGGGGUUAUUGUGGGGAAAUCUCCUGAGGGAGGCGCCGGAGGAGGUGAGGGUGGCAAUGAAGGAACAGGAUGAUUUUGCCCAUGAAGACCCCAAAAUGGAGAAGAGGAGUGGCUGGGCCCCAGGGACAUCGCUGGAUUUCCAGAAAGCCAACUGCAAGCAAAUGGAGGGUCUUCGGGGCCCCCAGACUGGGACGGGUGGAGGGUUAGGAUCUAAGAAUGAGAGACAUUCUGAGACGGGGAAAGUCCUCCAGCCUCUGCAGCGAGUAGCAGGGAAAAUGGUGAUUAUCAGAGAAACCAGGAGUUGGAUUCUGAAGGCGACACCAGCAGAAAAUCCAGGGAGGUGGGCGAGUCGGGGUGCUGGAGGGAGGUAAGAAGAAAGGAGCCCCAGCCCUGCCGCAGCCCACCCCCAGCUAGCGCCCCCCACCUCCCUGGGGCUCCGCGGAGAAAUCUGGCCGCGGGCAGAUAAGAGGCGAGUCUUACCACCAAAUUGGGUAGCCGGCGAGGACCCUGGUGCCACAGAGCAGGAGGCCGAGGAGCAGCCCGAGCAGGUGGGGCUCCAUUAGAAGCGGCGCCGAGGAGGAAGUUUGCCCGCGACCAUGAAGAGGGGGAGCGACGCCCCCAAUAGUUGGAACAAAGUCCACUUGAGAUUGGAAAUGACUUUCGGGCUUGUCAGAAGCGCACCUCCACCCGCAGCUGCCCCCCUCCCGAGCCCAGCGCGGAGCAGCCGGGUUUGAGGAUGUCAGCGAGCAGCCAAUCAGCGCCCGCGGCCUAAGGUGGCUCCCCUGGGAGAGUGGGCCGCGCCACAGACGCAGGACGCCCGAGAUGCAGGGCGCGGGCGCGGGCGGGGUGAUGUGAGGCCCCGGGCUCCCACUCCUGGGCAUCAGGCGGGUUCCGUGCAGCUGCCUCAACCUUGUGUCGAGACACGGAAGGCUGCAAACGGCAGGGUGAUGUCACUGAGUCCUUCCUGGCCUGGCCCACCAGCACCCCAAGAUCACAGGUGCCACCUGUGGGGCGGUAAGGGGUUUUCCCUGUCCCAGUAGUUCCUCCUGUCUUAGUCAUCUCUAGUUCCCCAAGGGCAUUUUGGAAAGGGAUUUGGGGUCAAAGUCCUUUAGAAGGGAGGGCACAACAGAAAAAUGGGCUGGGGGCACCCCUGGCCAGCUGCCUGUUAUCUCUGAGCCUCCUCUGUGCCAUCCGAGGUGGAGACAAUACUUUAUAUCUCAUAGGGAGUUGUCAGCGUUAAAUGAGAACCGUGCUGACAGAACGCCAGACUGAGGAUGGCGAAUAAUAAAUACUGGGUUUCUUUCUUCUCCUCUUAGGGGCUGAGGAGUAAGUGGCUGUCUUGGGUUGCUUUUUCUGCUCCUGUCAGCCUCAGCUAAGCAGCUCCUCAGGCGCCCAGGAGCCUCUGCCAGAAGGAUUUGUUCAGGAAAAUCUUGUUUGACACCCCAACUUGAGACCCACCUCAAAAUCUCCUUUUCGGCGAGACCCUCAGCCCCAUCCUCCUAGCUGCUCCCCCACCUUGUUCCUCUGGGCCUCUUACUCCACUUUAUUUUUCUGCAUAGCCCUAAACACUGACCUUGUAUUUCAUAUAUUCCAUAUUGAAUGUGUCUGUUAAGUUGCCCAUUUAAUGUUGUCUCUUUCCUACUCGAAAAUCUCAGUUCUGCUGAAGGCCCAACACCCAGAGCGGGAUCUGGCCCAGGCCCCUAAUAAACGCCGCCGAUGACUGGCUGAGGGAGUAAGGGGGGAGGCAGCGGCUGAGGCCUCAGAUGGGGGACCAUUGUCUGAGGUCCUUAUGGCCCUUUGGGGUCCCCAUCUUGAGAUCUUGGCACCUAGAAUUCGCCACUCCCCCCUAGCUACCCUACUCCGGCUUUGGCACCUGCUUCCCCCUCAGAUGACACCUGCACUGCCCCAAGCGGGCUGAGAUCAGGGGUUGGCAGCCUGUCGGGAAGUUACCACAACACAGGACACCUGGGGCUUGGUGGGCCUCGUGCUGCCAGCCCCCAUCUCUGCCCCCUCUUUCCCUCCCCCACUUUCCGUUUCUUCCAACUCUUCGGUCUUUUUCCAUCCUUCAUUAUUCUGCCUUUGCCUCCAAGCCCUGAGCCCACACCCAGACAUGACUGGGCCUGCCUGAGGCCUUGGGGCUCUAACCCAAGGCCCAUUCCUGCCGGGGGAAGUGCUUCUUCCUUGAGGAAGUCGAGCCAGACCUCUGCGUGGCUGUCUGUGCGUGGCUGACGUAGUUUCUCUUGGUCCCAGUGUUCUUUCCAUUCCCCAGUGGGUGAGACAUAACCAGGAAGGGGAGCCCCAGAUGCAACCCAGGAACCAUCUCUGCUUUCUUCUGUCUCCAACCUCAGCCAGGCUGUGGCCCCCUUUCACCUGGGCUUCAGGGCAGGAAAGUGUUUCCGUUUUUCCCAUCACCCACAAACACAUACUUUCCGCCUGCUGUGGGCAAAGCCUGAGGCCAAGCUCUGGGGGAGGAAUGGUCCAUCCUCAAGGGGACCCCAGGAGCACAGUAGGUGCUCUAUGUGCACAGGGUGGGGGGAUGGCUCAUUCAUUCAACACAUUUUCAUAGAGCACAGGGUAAGCGCUGAUGACCAAAAACUGUCCAGGCCUUGCCAUCUGUGGGAGACACAGUUUUCCAACAGAAGAUCAAAUAAAUAUUUCCUUUAAACCAA